CCUACGGGUGACUGCAGUGAGGAAUAUUGGUCAAUGGGCUUACGCCUGAACCAGCCAAGUCGCGUGAGGGAAGACUGCCCUAUGGGUUGUAAACCUCUUUUGUCAGGGAGCAACGCCUGCUACGUGUAGCCUGACUGAGAGUACCUGAAGAAAAAGCAUCGGCUAACUCCGUGCCAGCAGCCGCGGUAAUACGGAGGAUGCGAGCGUUCUCCGGAUUUAUUGGGUUAAAGGGGUGCGUAGGCGGUAUGCCAAUUCAGCGGGAAAAUCGCGGGGCUAAACCUCGCUCCGCAGUUGAUACUGGCGUGCUUGAGUGGGGGAGAGGUAUGCGGAAUGCGUGGUGUAGCGGUGAAAUGCAUAGAUAUCACGCAGAAGUCCGAUUGCGAAGGCAGCAUACCGGAGCACAACUGACGCUGAAGCACGAAAGCGUGGGUAUCGAACAGGAUUAGAUACCCUUGUAGUC
rnacentral:rRNA from 1 species